GAUGAACGCUGGCGGCGCGCCUAACACAUGCAAGUCGAACGGCACCCCUCUCCGGAGGGAAGCGAGUGGCGAACGGCUGAGUAACACGUGGAGAACCUGCCCCCUCCCCCGGGAUAGCCGCCCGAAAGGACGGGUAAUACCGGAUACCCCGGGGUGCCGCAUGGCACCCCGGCUAAAGCCCCGACGGGAGGGGAUGGCUCCGCGGCCCAUCAGGUAGACGGCGGGGUGACGGCCCACCGUGCCGACAACGGGUAGCCGGGUUGAGAGACCGACCGGCCAGAUUGGGACUGAGACACGGCCCAGACUCCUACGGGAGGCAGCAGUGGGGAAUCUUGCGCAAUGGGGGGAACCCUGACGCAGCGACGCCGCGUGCGGGACGGAGGCCUUCGGGUCGUAAACCGCUUUCAGCAGGGAAGAGUCAAGACUGUACCUGCAGAAGAAGCCCCGGCU
rnacentral:rRNA from 1 species